CAUGAUACAUUGUGCAUGUGGAGAAGUAAAGGAUGGACUGCAAUCUCCAUGGGUGAAAGUGGAACUGUGACCCUCCACCUUCUCUAUGGCUGGCUGCCCUGGACUGCAAAAUAAGUGGAGAUGCCCUAUAGCCUGCACCCUGCUCUCUCUGCUGCUAACCUUCAAGCUGCCUCCAAGAGCUUUCUUGAGAACUGGCUGGGGCAAGUGACUGGCUGACAAAUUUUCUUCUGAUCAUUGGAAGCCUCAUAAGCAUGGUUCUACCAGAAGGGUUUUCGCAUGUCACUCAAUGCAUCUGCCACCUGUUUGCCUCCGUAAGUAAUGAACAGAUAUUGGCAGCCCCCUGUGAGAGAAACCUGAUACACUAGCUGCUCCCGGGUGCCUAGGUACAGCAGCAAACACCUGGAUUUUUAUAUCCAGACUGUGGCUAGAGGGACAAUCUUAAAAGUUUUUUACUUCUUCUUUUCCUUGUAUAUUGAAUAGUUUGGUAUUUGAUACUUUGUACCGGCUUGCAUAAAUAAAACUCUUGCAAUACCUG